GACGAACGCUGGCGGCGUGCCUAAUACAUGCAAGUCGAGCGGACAGAAGGGAGCUUGCUCCCGGAAGUUAGCGGCGGACGGGUGAGUAACACGUGGGCAACCUACCCUGCAGUUCGGGAUAACAUCGAGAAAUCGGUGCUAAUACCGGAUAAUCAUUUGAAGCGCAUGCUUCGAAUGUAAAAGAUGGCUCCGGCUCUCCCUACGGGUAGGGCCGGCGGCUCAUUAGCUAGUUGGUAAGGUAAUGGCUUACCAAGGCAACGAUGCUUAGCCGACCUGAGAGGGGGAUCGGCCCCGCUGAGACUGAGACACGGCCCAGACUCCUACGGGAGGCAGCAGUAGGGAAUCUUCCGCAAUGGACGAAAGUCUGACGGAGCAACGCCGCGUGAGUGAUGAAGGUUUUCGGAUCGUAAAGCUCUGUUGUUAGGGAAGAACAAGUGCCGUUUGAAUAAGGCGGCACCUUGACGGUACCUAACCAGAAAGCCACGGCUAACUACGUGCCAGCAGCCGCCGUAAAAC
rnacentral:rRNA from 1 species